ACCAGAAAGUAUCCAUUGUCGACGCCGGCGCAACGGGUUGUUCGGAGAAUAACGACUUCAACGGUGUCCUCUUCAUUCGUGACCGGUUUUUGUCGGUCUGUACUCAAUCUUCGCAAAUAUCAUCAUGCGUCGCGUACACGGUCAUGACUCAUUGUAAAUCCAGAACCCUCCCGAUGGAACGAAACGAUGGGAAAUCAGCCUGAGUUAGUAUGUGUGCGGCCGCGAUGGAAAACAUUACUUCAGUGGUUAACUGACACAAUAACGGAGGCCAUAGAGACGUGAAAGUCAGCGCCUAUAUUUGCAGUUAUAUCACCUAGUCAGUCCCAGUCAGUCCAGAACAGACUAUGCGUGGCUUAGGGACUGUUGCAAGUCCUGUUUAAAAUCCGUCAAAUCGCAUCACGACGCGCAAAACCCUGCCUGUGACAUAAUUUUCCGGUUGUUGAUCGUGAAGGAAGUUGAGUUUCAUGUUACCUUGUUGUGCCUAAACAUUUUUGUUCUGGGGUAUGGCACCUUUACCCACCGAAGCCGCGUUGACCCUUUCUACACGGUGCAAAAAGCUAAUGGAAGAAGUGGAAUUUCCCUGCCGCCCAUGUUACGAAGUGUACAUCGCAAUGUAUGUGACCAUGUUUGGAAAAACAGAAGCUAACUAGAAACUUCUGUCCCAUUCUACUAUGAGAUAAUGAAACAUUUGUGAAAAAACACAUCGAAAGCAGAUCACAGCCGGCAUGUAGUA